ensembl:lncRNA
AGCACCCUUAGCUGCUGCGCUGUCUUGCAUAGCUACCUUUGGAAUGGCUGACUCACAGUAGGCAGAGCGUUUUCAUACAACACUUUCAAGUGAUUUCCACUCAACAGUGUACAAGAUUCCGGAUUGUGAUACACUGAGUAGUGAGUGCUGGCCACUUACCUGCGUCACUCUCUUAGAGCCACACCACCAUCCUGAGUCCAAUAAGGAUUCUUGUCCCCACUUGGCACUUGAGGAAAGGGGAGAGUGGCGUCCUACCAGUGCAGUCUCAUUGCUGUCUUUUCUCCCACAGUGGUGACAGUCUUCUGCCCAAGCCGUACAUCUAGUCAGUAGUUGAGCCCCCACAAUCAGGAUCCAACCAUCCCUCAUUUUUGGUUGGAUCUAAGUUGCAUACCAGCUUACUGUGGCUAUGUGCAUUUCUGUAUGUACCAGAGUAGUGAGUGAUUCUACCCAUUUGUUGAGUAGCUAAUAUUUUCAAGUGUUGAUAAUUAAAAUCUAUACAGAAUUUUUAUAUUUCCUUGUUUUGUUUUGUUUCAGUGCUGGGGAACAAACCCUGGGCCUUCCGUAUGCUAGGCAAAUGCUUUACUACCAAGGUGCACAUCCCCAAGCCUCACUGGUAGAUUCUAGGCCCGUGUGUGCAGCUGCCACUGGAAAGAGAAGCACGGCUCAUGGGGACUGUGGGAAGUAAAAUGUGUUGUGGAGAGGAGGAAGCCAGCAAACACUGUUAGGUGGGUGAAGCAUCUGGAAGAACAACCCUCCCCCACCCCCCACAAAACUGCUAAGUGUGGUUGCCUCUGCUUGGCACCAUUCCAUUGGUGGAUUCCAGGUGGAGCCCCUGCCUAGCAUCCCCCAGUGAGGGGCUGGGGGCAUGGCUCAAUGGUAAAGCACUUGACAGGCAUGUGUGAGGCCCUGAGUUGCAUCUCUACUACUACUACCACCAAAAAAUAAAAUCACAGAAUGUUUGUAUAUAUGGUUACAUGGUAUGUGUGUGUAUGUGUUAUUGAAUUCUUUAUUCGGGACUCUGCAUAGAGGAUUGAGACAUUGCUUCAGAAAGGCCUGUCUUAACACUGUCUAAAUGAGUCUCCCUGUCAUUUUCUGUCCAGGAUUUAUUUUCCUUCACGGUGUACUAAUUGUUGCCUGACAUUGUGUUGGCUUUUACACCACUACCACCCCCACCACCCCCGUACCCUGGAAAAAUGUGAGUUUCAGGAGGAUGGUCUUGUGUGUUUUGUUCCAUAUCCUCACCUCUAGACCAGUGUCUGGCCUAUAACAGUUGCUUAGUGACUUAGUGAGCAUGUGGUGAAUGGGUGUGAACAAGCCGGAUUAACCCCCCCCCAUACAAGGGUGAACUGAGGCCCAGGACCUGCCCCUCCACAAGUGGACUGUAAAGAGCAGGAAGGUCCACUGUUUACCUGCUUGGGAUGGGGCAAGAAAUCCCUGUAGACUGUCUUUUGUGUUGUUAAAAGACAUCCAUUUACCCACAAAUCCCUUUUCAAAACCAGCUUGUGAGAUGACACAGGUUGCCAUCUUGUCUGGGCCUCUUGUGCUGGGCCUUGCCUAUUAGCCUGAGAAGCGUGUCACGCCUGGCCGUCUUUAACCAGCUGGCCAGUGUCCCCCUUUGGCUUGGGUGACGUUUGUUAAGGGCAGCUGUGCACUAGGGAAUCAUAGGUAGAGGGUUUCACGAUUUCUGUGCAUAAGAAUAUUUGCAGUUUGCUUAUUUUCUACCCAAUAUGAGUUGUGCAUUCCAUGUGGGCCUAGUUUAGCUUUUUAUUUUUCAAUCACGUGUAUGUCUAUGUCAGUGGGUUGGGUGUGUGCACACGAAGUAUCAGAUCCCCACAUGGUUAUGGGUCACCUGUCACUGGGACUCAUGCUUGGGUCCUGCGGAAGCACAGUGCUCACUGUUAACUGUUGAGCCAAAGCCGCAGCUCUGGAUGUAGCAUGGCGUUUCAAAGAGCCUUGAGAGCAUUCACUUGGCAUGUGUCCUCAGUGUCUCGUGGGUGCCUGCAGAGUCCCAGAUACGUUGUAAACAGAAACCGUAGAAUUCACAUUCAAUCUGGGACAAAGGAAGUCUGCAACCGCAGACUUUGCAGUAUUUGCAGUAAAUACUCCUCGAGAAGUAGAAGUAGAGGCAGCCUGAGUGGGGACACUGAGGAACUCUACCUCCUUGAUGAGGACUCAUGCAUAAAGAAAAGCUCACUGGCCAGGAAGCAGCUUUGAGAAUGGCUACAGGAAAGUGUGCAGAGGCCCCGAGACAGCGGGUGACAUAGAACAUCCAGUGUCAUGGUGGUGCUGGGUACAGGAGGGUAACAUGAGGUCAGAGAGGUGACGCCCAGACCCACCUCUUAAUUCCUGGUCUCAAAUGAUCCUCCCCCCUCAACUCUAGAGAUGCUGGGACAAUAGGCAUGCACAAUUGUGCACGGCUGAGGUGUUGAGGGACAGAAGGUACCGGAUAGGGCUCCUGUUCGGAUCAGUUCUAUCUGCCUGGCUACAGGAAAGCAGAAGUGAGCUUGAGACCAGAGCGGGCUCUGAUGACUGUGUCUAAGCGAGCGAUGGUGGAGGUAGCUUGGGCAUGGAAAGAGAAGACAUGGAAAUGGAUUUGGAUAUAGUUUGGAGCCAAAUGGCAACAAAGAGCUUGCUAAUUACAGAAGGAUGGAGAAGUCUGCUCUCUGCAUACAUCAGUUUAUUAACCAAUUGCUGCUGUUGGGCAGUCAGGUACCCCCACUCCCACCCCAGGCUGCUGUAGUCGCAACUCCAGGGUGAAUCUAGAAGGAUUGCGGGCAAGGGAAUUCAUGCCCAGCAAAGGCUGGGCACUCAGAGCUGGGCUGCAUAGAAAGCCAUCCCAAGCCCAGCUCCAAUGGCUGUGUGGAGAGAUGGCAGCCGCCCUUCUGAUCCAUGCUGGUGAUACACAAGGGGAUGCUCGACUUUAGGACGUUCUCUGGUGCUCUCCCAUGCCUUGUCUUCCCUGGGGUGACUUUUCCCGCCUCAGCUAAGUUCCAGCCACCAUGGCAG